rfam:Human immunodeficiency virus 1 gag gene, partial cds, isolate: RN09-1.
GCCCAGGGGGAAAGAAAAAAUAUAGAAUAAAACACCUAGUAUGGGCAAGCAGGGAGUUGGAAAGAUUCGCGUUUAACCCUAGCC